rnacentral:rRNA from 1 species
UACGUAGGGUGCGAGCGUUGUCCGGAAUUACUGGGCGUAAAGAGCCCGUAGGUGGUUUGUCGCGUUGUCCGUGAAAACUCACAGCUCAACUGUGGGCGUGCGGGCGAUACGGGCAGACUGGAGUACUGCAGGGGAGACUGGAAUUCCUGGUGUAGCGGUGGAAUGCGCAGAUAUCAGGAGGAACACCGGUGGCGAAGGCGGGUCUCUGGGCAGUAACCGACGCUGAGGAGCGAAAGCGUGGGGAGCGAACAGG